rnacentral:rRNA from 1 species
UUAAGCGACUAAGCGUACACGGUGGAUGCCCUGGCAGUCAGAGGCGAUGAAGGACGUGCUAAUCUGCGAAAAGCGUCGGUAAGGUGAUAUGAACCGUUAUAACCGGCGAUGUCCGAAUGGGGAAACCCAGUGCAAUUCGUUGCACUAUCGUUAACUGAAUACAUAGGUUAACGAGGCGAACCGGGGGAACUGAAACAUCUAAGUACCCCGAGGAAAAGAAAUCAACCGAGAUUCCCCCAGUAGCGGCGAGCGAACGGGGAGCAGCCCAGAGUCUGAAUCAGCUUGUGUGUUAGUGGAACGGUCUGGAAAGUCCGACGGUACAGGGUGAUAGUCCCGUACACCAAAAUGCACAGGCUGUGAACUCGAAGAGUAGGGCGGGACACGUGGUAUCCUGUCUGAAUAUGGGGGACCAUCCUCCAAGGCUAAAUACUCCUGACUGACCGAUAGUGAACCAGUACCGUGAGGGAAAGGCGAAAAGAACCCCGGCGAGGGGAGUGAAAAAGAACCUGAAACCGUGUACGUACAAGCAGUGGGAGCACCUUCGGGUGUGACUGCGUACCUUUUGUAUAAUGGGUCAGCGACUUAUAUUCUGUAGCAAGGUUAACCGUAUAGGGGAGCCGCAGGGAAACCGAGUCUUAACUGGGCGUUAAGUUGCAGGGUAUAGACCCGAAACCCGGUGAUCUAGCCAUGGGCAGGUUGAAGGUUGGGUAACACUAACUGGAGGACCGAACCGACUAAUGUUGAAAAAUUAGCGGAUGACUUGUGGCUGGGGGUGAAAGGCCAAUCAAACCGGGAGAUAGCUGGUUCUCCCCGAAAGCUAUUUAGGUAGCGCCUCGUGAACUCAUCUUCGGGGGUAGAGCACUGUUUCGGCUAGGGGGUCAUCCCGACUUACCAACCCGAUGCAAACUACGAAUACCGAAGAAUGUUAUCACGGGAGACACACGGCGGGUGCUAACGUCCGUCGUGAAGAGGGAAACAACCCAGACCGCCAGCUAAGGUCCCAAAGUCAUGGUUAAGUGGGAAACGAUGUGGGAAGGCACAGACAGCCAGGAUGUUGGCUUAGAAGCAGCCAUCAUUUAAAGAAAGCGUAAUAGCUCACUGGUCGAGUCGGCCUGCGCGGAAGAUGUAACGGGGCUAAACCAUGCACCGAAGCUGCGGCAGCGACACUAUGUGUUGUUGGGUAGGGGAGCGUUCUGUAAGCCUGCGAAGGUGACCUGUGAGGGUUGCUGGAGGUAUCAGAAGUGCGAAUGCUGACAUAAGUAACGAUAAAGCGGGUGAAAAGCCCGCUCGCCGGAAGACCAAGGGUUCCUGUCCAACGUUAAUCGGGGCAGGGUGAGUCGACCCCUAAGGCGAGGCCGAAAGGCGUAGUCGAUGGGAAACAGGUUAAUAUUCCUGUACUUGGUGUUACUGCGAAGGGGGGACGGAGAAGGCUAUGUUAGCCGGGCGACGGUUGUCCCGGUUUAAGCAUGUAGGCUGAUUGUCCAGGCAAAUCCGGAUAAUCAAGGCUGAGGUGUGAUGACGAGGCACUACGGUGCUGAAGUAACAAAUGCCCUGCUUCCAGGAAAAGCCUCUAAGCAUCAGGUAACAUCAAAUCGUACCCCAAACCGACACAGGUGGUCAGGUAGAGAAUACCAAGGCGCUUGAGAGAACUCGGGUGAAGGAACUAGGCAAAAUGGUGCCGUAACUUCGGGAGAAGGCACGCUGGUGUGUAGGUGAAGCCCCUGCGGGUGGAGCUGAGACCAGUCGAAGAUACCAGCUGGCUGCAACUGUUUAUUAAAAACACAGCACUGUGCAAACACGAAAGUGGACGUAUACGGUGUGACGCCUGCCCGGUGCCGGAAGGUUAAUUGAUGGGGUUAUCCGUAAGGAGAAGCUCUUGAUCGAAGCCCCGGUAAACGGCGGCCGUAACUAUAACGGUCCUAAGGUAGCGAAAUUCCUUGUCGGGUAAGUUCCGACCUGCACGAAUGGCGUAAUGAUGGCCAGGCUGUCUCCACCCGAGACUCAGUGAAAUUGAACUCGCUGUGAAGAUGCAGUGUACCCGCGGCAAGACGGAAAGACCCCGUGAACCUUUACUAUAGCUUGACACUGAACAUUGAGCCUUGAUGUGUAGGAUAGGUGGGAGGCUUUGAAGCGUGGACGCCAGUCUGCGUGGAGCCAACCUUGAAAUACCACCCUUUAAUGUUUGAUGUUCUAACGUUGGCCCCUGACCGGGGUUGCGGACAGUGUCUGGUGGGUAGUUUGACUGGGGCGGUCUCCUCCCAAAGCGUAACGGAGGAGCACGAAGGUUAGCUAAUCCUGGUCGGACAUCAGGAGGUUAGUGCAAUGGCAUAAGCUAGCUUGACUGCGAGCGUGACGGCGCGAGCAGGUGCGAAAGCAGGUCAUAGUGAUCCGGUGGUUCUGAAUGGAAGGGCCAUCGCUCAACGGAUAAAAGGUACUCCGGGGAUAACAGGCUGAUACCGCCCAAGAGUUCAUAUCGACGGCGGUGUUUGGCACCUCGAUGUCGGCUCAUCACAUCCUGGGGCUGAAGUAGGUCCCAAGGGUAUGGCUGUUCGCCAUUUAAAGUGGUACGCGAGCUGGGUUUAGAACGUCGUGAGACAGUUCGGUCCCUAUCUGCCGUGGGCGCUGGAGAAUUGAGGGGGGCUGCUCCUAGUACGAGAGGACCGGAGUGGACGCAUCACUGGUGUUCGGGUUGUCAUGCCAAUGGCACUGCCCGGUAGCUAAAUGCGGAAGAGAUAAGUGCUGAAAGCAUCUAAGCACGAAACUUGCCCCGAGAUGAGUUCUCCCUGAGACUUUAAGUCUCCUGAAGGAACGUUAAAGACGAUGACGUUGAUAGGCCGGGUGUGUAAGCGCAGCGAUGCGUUGAGCUAACCGGUACUAAUGAACCGUGAGGCUUAACCUU